rnacentral:rRNA from 1 species
CCCUUAGAUGUCCUGGGCCGCACGCGCGUUACACUGAUGCAUUCAACGAGCUUAUAACCUUGGCCGAGAGGCCUGGGCGAUCUUGUUAACGUGCAUCGUGAUAGGGAUAGAUUAUUGAAAUUAUUAAUCUUGAACGAGGAAUUCCUAGUAAACGCAGAUCAUCAAUCUGCAUUGAUUACGUCCCUGCCCUUUGUACACACCGCCCGUCGCACCUACCGAUUGGAUGGUCCGGUGAAGCCUCGGGAUUGUGGUUCUUGCCGCUUUAUUGUGGCGUGACCGCGAGAACUUGUCUAAACCUUAUCAUCUAGAGGAAGGUGAAGUCGUAACA